rnacentral:lncRNA from 1 species
UUUUUAAGAUUUUUCAGGUACCCCUCACUAAAGGCACCGAAGGCUUAAAGUAGGACAACCAUGGAGCCUUCCUGUGGCAGGAGAGACAACAAAGCGCUAUUAUCCUAAGGUCAAGAGAAGUGUCAGCCUCACCUGAUUUUUAUUAGUAAUGAGGACUUGCCUCAACUCCCUCUUUCUGGAGUGAAGCAUCCGAAGGAAUGCUUGAAGUACCCCUGGGCUUCUCUUAACAUUUAAGCAAGCUGUUUUUAUAGCAGCUCUUAAUAAUAAAGCCCAAAUCUCAAGCGGUGCUUGAAGGGGAGGGAAAGGGGGAAAGCGGGCAACCACUUUUCCCUAGCUUUUCCAGAAGCCUGUUAAAAGCAAGGUCUCCCCACAAGCAACUUCUCUGCCACAUCGCCACCCCGUGCCUUUUGAUCUAGCACAGACCCUUCACCCCUCACCUCGAUGCAGCCAGUAGCUUGGAUCCUUGUGGGCAUGAUCCAUAAUCGGUUUCAAGGUAACGAUGGUGUCGAGGUCUUUGGUGGGUUGAACUAUGUUAGAAAAGGCCAUUAAUUUGCCUGCAAAUUGUUAACAGAAGGGUAUUAAAACCACAGCUAAGUAGCUCUAUUAUAAUACUUAUCCAGUGACUAAAACCAACUUAAACCAGUAAGUGGAGAAAUAACAUGUUCAAGAACUGUAAUGCUGGGUGGGAACAUGUAACUUGUAGACUGGAGAAGAUAGGCAUUUGAGUGGCUGAGAGGGCUUUUGGGUGGGAAUGCAAAAAUUCUCUGCUAAGACUUUUUCAGGUGAACAUAACAGACUUGGCCAAGCUAGCAUCUUAGCGGAAGCUGAUCUCCAAUGCUCUUCAGUAGGGUCAUGAAGGUUUUGCUUUUUGGCCUUUUUCUAGCUU